GUAGGGAGCGAGCGUUAUCCGGAUUUAUUGGGUGUAAAGGGUGCGUAGACGGGAAUACAAGUUAGUUGUGAAAUACCUCGGCUUAACUGAGGAACUGCAACUAAAACUAUAUNUCUUGAGUACAGGAGAGGUAAGUGGAAUNCCUAGUGUAGCGGUGAAAUGCGUAGAUAUUAGGAGGAACACCAGUGGCGAAGGCGACUUACUGGACUGAAACUGACGUUGAGGCACGAAAGUGUGGGGAGCAAACAGGAUUAGAUACCCUGGUAGUCCACACCGUAAACGAUGGAUACUAGGUGUAGGAGAUAUUAAGUCUUCUGUGCCGUCGCAAACGCAGUAAGUAUCCCACCUGGGGAGU
rnacentral:rRNA from 1 species